GGCUGGAGCUGGCCAGGGGAAAGGGAGAUUGCGCGAAGAUGGGAAGACACGGGGGCCAGGAAAAACCAUCCUUCAUGAGCUUGACAGCCCUGGGAGCCGACACAGGGGCUUACUGAACGGGACUAAAGGUUGAAGCCGGGGCUUCACAUGGGCUGAGGGACCCCUCCUCAUGGGUCAGAUGAAAGCCUCAUUUGGGGCCUAUCCAAGGCAGUGCAUAAGCCAGAAGCUGACCCACUGAUAAGUUGUUUUCUUUGAGACAGGUUCUCACAUAUCCCAAGCUGGCCUGGAACUCACCAUGUACCCCAGGAUAGCCUUGGACUCUUCAUUCCCCUGCUACCACCUCCAGUGUGCCAGGGUUAUAGUCAGAUACAACUGUCCUGGUUUAUGUGGUGCUGGGCAUUGAACCCAGGGCUCUUAAAUGCUAGGCAGGCUCUCUACUGACUGAGCCACACCCUCAACCCACCUUCCUUCCAUUGGCAGUUUGUUCCCAGGGCCUUGACCUUGGCUACAGCAAGUCUACUUCCCUAUACACACCUUGGUUCUUCAUUUCUGUCCAUCUCUCUGGGAUCAGAAAGCGGGAUCAUGUCUCUAAGACAGUGAAAAGGGAGAGGAAGUUGCAGCAGGCAGCUAGGCUCAAGCAGAUGCAGACUCAAAGCUCGGUGCAUUCACUUUCAUCCUGGGUGGACCCUCCCUGAGCCUCCAUCCCGACCGGAGUAUAAAGAUGGCCACGGCCCCAGAAGAACUGCCAGUGACGGGACGCUAACCUCGGUACUGUCUGAGAACAACUGUCUGAGAAUGGCCUGUGCUGUGACUGACCGUCGUAUUAGCCGACAACAGUAUCCGCGUAAGAACCCUCCAGCAUGCAAAUGACAGAAACCCUCAGACCGUCUGAAGCGUCAAAGACAGUUGAUUGGCUGCAUCUAAGGCGUUUCUGCAUGCGUGUGCGUGUGUGCGUGCGUGUGUGUGUGCAUGUGUGUGAACGUGGAGGCCAGAGGUUGUCAACGUCAGGUGUCUUCCUUGAUCACCUUAGUUUUGAGAUGGAUCUCUCGAUGAACCUGGAGGCCAGCCAUCAGCUAGACUGGCUGGCUAGUGAACUUCAUGGGCCUUCCUGUCUAGACUCCCUCAGUCCUAGGUUUGCACACUGCCAUUGUGACAGCUGUCUUGUUUUUAUUUCUUUCCUUCCCUCCUUCCCUCCUUCCCUCCUUCCUUCCUACCUCCCUCCUUUGUCCCUCCCUCCCCCUCCCUCCCUUCUUCCUUCCUUCACCCCUCCCUCCUUCCUUCACCCCUCCCUCCCUCCUUCCUCUCUCCCUCCUUCCUUCCUUGUUUGUUGUGUUGGGGAUGGGAACUCAAGUCUCCACCUUACACAGCACACACAUUACAGACUUGAGCUACCCCCCCCCCCAGCUCUCAAACACUCUUUUAAGCAAUACUGUCUCUCAGGGUGGGUAAAGCUUGGGAUUUCCUCCUUCGAAGCAGUCAGCUGGCAUUUGAGGGCGUGCCAUGCAAAAUUAAUUUGCAGGCUCAAGUUGGGUAUGCAGGGACCAAGAAGGCUUUGGGAGGCCACACCCCACCUGAGGACAAUGUGUACCACACUUACCUGGGCGUCAGGUGGAUGGUUGUUUUCUCUCUACCCCUGCUAUUUCUGUUAUUUGCCCCUCUGCCACCCCCUACCUUAGCUUAUAUUCUGUUUUAUGUGUAUGAUACUUAUAUGUCUGCAUGCCUGGUGCCUGUGGAAGCCAGGAGAAGCCAUUGGAUCCCCUGGAACUGGUGUUACCAAUAACGGUGAGCCAUCCUUUGGGUGCUGAGAAAGCCCAGGAUCUCUGGAAGCAGCAGCCAGUGCUUUUAACCACUGAACCAUCUCUCCUGCCACGUGUAUUCUCUGCUUGUCUUUAGUUUUACUUGGGAAGCAUCCUUUUAGGUCUUCGUUCUUCCAGAUUCGAGUGUCUGAAUCCCCCAAUGCUGAUCGCUUGUGACAUGUGCUGUGGGCUUGGCCAGCCCCACAGCUGGCGGCAAGCAGCCCAUGAGUCUUUCAGCUGUGACAGCCCUGCUAAGAGGUGAGGUCAGAGGAGCAGGUCCCAGCCACCUGCACCCCAAGUCCUGCAGUCUCUGGGGUCCGGUCAGCCUGGUGCCCACUGGGCUGGUCCUCUCUUCGUGACUGUGGCUGGUAGCCUGGGAAGGAAGAGAGUGGGGUAAACCACUCACCCCCACGGCUGCCUUCCGAGGCCAGCCAGCUCGCUGGGCCAUUAACCAGGCAAGCCACAGCAGCAAUAAAAUUAAUUUCCUUUCCUAAUAUAUACAAGACUUUCUUCAGGAGACUUAUGGAGCGAUUUGAUCAAAGUGCGUAACUGGUAUUCUUGUGCUAUCACUUUCAGCCCCUUAAUGCCCUCCUGUCAAAACAAAAUCCUGAAGAAAGGCUUUGAGUGGAGUCACAUGGACAUAAUGGGUUUCUAAAAGAGAGUCCUAAGCACUCGCUAACAUAUACAGAGCCGACUAUUAGAUGGCGGGUGCAUUGUCCUUAUAUUUUAAUGUAAACAUACUUAUAUUAGGCGGGCGCUUCAUCCCUCUGCAGAUGCAGAGGGGCAGGGUGGGUGGGGGAGGGGGAUGGCUUCAGUGGGACUGCCAACCAGGGGAGAGUCCACUAAGCAGAGACGUGGAGGGAAGGUCAGAGUCGUGAAGGGAGGAGGGAAGCAGAGGAGACCUAUCUGGAUAUUCUUAAUGACACAGAUGCCUGGCUCCUGGGUGACACUUUGAACUUUUUUUUUUUUUUUCUUUUUCCAAGGAGUUUCCCACCUCGCCUGCUCUGCCCUGCAGACAACCUCUGUGAGUCCCUCUGUGACUGGGAAGGAGAGGGGACCCAUUUACUUGGGUGGGUAAACUGAGGAUCAGAGGAGGCUUCCACAUCCUGGCAGGGACCAGAUGCACAGGUCAGCCCUGGCGCACUGUAUGUGAGGAAGCAGCCAUUCUAGAACUCAGCUGCCCUCUGGGCGCCUAAUGAAGACGCUAAACCUGAAGCUGGCUGCAGAUUCAAGCUCCUGUUCAGAUAUAACAAACCCACUGGAAUAGAAGGAUUAGGUCUCCCUUCACCAGAGCCAACAUGGUUGAGAUGGAGAGUUGAAAUGCAAAGGAAGAUGUAUAACAGCCCCCGAGAGCAGCCGCACCACUCUACUGGGAAAGGAUCCAUCUUCUUGCCCCGAAUAGCCACAUCUCAAGGGAACCUGCAGGCGUGAGCAGAAGAGGGUCAGAUUUCUCACAGAUCCUUGGUUGGGGUUUCUGGUGCAUGACCCCCCCCAUCCCCAGCCCCCAAAAUCACAUUGUUUGAAUUCACUUACCCAGAGCAAAAUCCAACCAAAAGUAAAAAGACACUCCGAGAUGCUUAUUUUAAAGAUCUUCCGCAAGGUGUUCUGGACAUCAAUGGCUCUUAAAACCCACAGCAGCACUUUCAUGAUUUAAGCGUAGAGGAAGCGGACAUAUGGAUCAAAUUUUCUUGGAAUUCCUCCUGGUUUUAAAAGCGAAAGGUAGACGAGUCAGCGACAUGGCAGAGUGCCUGGACCACUUAGAGAUGUGCCCUCGAGGCAAAGCACCCUGAACCCCAAGGCUGGAGGACGAACUUGUCCGGUUUAUGUAUCCGUCCGUGCAGAGAGCAGAUCUGGGGGGUCCUUAAGGAGGACUCUCUGGCGUGGAUCCUACGGCCAUUUUUUUUUUUUAAAUCUGAGAUUCCUCUCUGAGCACCAUCAGGACCCACAGCCACAGUUUCCGAGCUUUGUGAUUUUCCCCUAAAAUUGCUGGUUGGAGACUCAGGUGGUGGAGCUGUCACCCCAGUCUACUUCUACUAGGAUCUCUCAGUUGGAGCUGGAUGUGGGGACCUAGGCCUAUAACCCCAGCUACUUAGGAGGCUGAGGCAGGAGGAUCAUAAGUUUGGGACCAGCCUAGACAACUUAGUAGACUCUGUCUCAAAUCUGAGAGAUGAAAAGAGGCCUGGGAAUGUAGCCGACUGUGAAGCAAGCUCGAGAACACUGGCCUAGGAUGUUUAGGGCCCUCAGCUUUGUGCCCAGCACUACAUAUAAGAAAAAAAAAAACCCAACUUUAUCAAGACCCCUAACUCUGUAUGUCCAACAGGUUUCUUGGCUGCCAGGCUGGGAUGCUAUGGUCAGAGAGAUGAGCCCCUGAAGGAGACUGGUUCUGUGGACCCUGAAUCCCAAAUGCUUCCCCAUACGGAAUCACGCACGGAGCUGGGUGAAGUGAGGCAAAAGGAGAAGGCAGCUCAAGGCACCAUCGUCGGCGAGGAGGAGGAGCCAGCGGCUGCAGAGGAGGAGGAGCCAGCGCCUGCAGAUGGUGUGGGAGUAUGAACGCGAAGCCACCCCGGCUGUGGGCCUGUGCAGCAAGCUCUUAUUUAUGGUAACACGCAGUGCAGGAAAAUUUUAUAUAAGGCAUUAAAGUGCAGGCAAUUUAAGACACUCGAUCAGCCUUCCUCCCCAGCACCCCCUCCCACCCGUGCUCCCCUCCCUCCCCCAGCGUUUGAAUUUCAGCUGGGUACAGGCUGAUAAUGAUGAAAUUACAUUGCAAACAGGUGCGGCCUCUUCUGCUCUGGACCGAUGCCAGGGCAUGUGAAUCCUCAGUGGGGGGCGUGUGGUUUGCCUGGUUUAUGAGGCUGGGGAUGGAGGGUGAGGGAACUUCCCUCCCCGGAGUAUCUCCACCCAUCAAUCCCCUCUAUGCAGCCAAGCUAGGCCCUCUGCCUUCUUGGCUCUGGGUCCCCUGUGGGGUGUGGAUUCCACCAUCCUAGUAGGGAGGCAUUGUUUACCCAGGACAGUAGGACCCGGAAUGAACACACAGGCUGAAUCUCAUCAGCAAGGAUUCCGCAAACAACAGCCACACAAUCGGGCUAGACUGUGCUGCAUGUGGGCAGUGCUUAAGCUCUUAACUUACUGGAAGGAGUAAGUCAAACUCUCUCCAGUGAUAGUUAUUAAAGCUACCCCAAGCCCUGGCCCUUCAAUACCAGCCACCGCCAAAUAAUUGUUAUGGGAUUGAGGGUGAAUGGCUAAGAGGUUCUGGGCCUCAAUUUUAUCACCUGUGAAAUGGGGAUUAGGUAACUUUCUUCAUAAAAUUGUGAAAAUGAGCAGGAUGGGUUUAUUUAAGAAUCACCUGAGUGUGGGGUUGGGGAUUUAGCUCAGUGGUAGAGCGCUUGCCUAGCAAGCACAAGGCCCUGGGUUCAGUCCCCAGCUCCGAAAAAAAAAAAAAAAAAAGAAUCACCUGAGUGUUCUCUAUUCAAGGUAACUAAAUCCUAAAUGUGCUGGAAAGCCAGACACUGAGAUUAUCCAUGAGGCAAGUUUGUACACAAUACUGGUAAUGACCUAAACCCGAAGGAUGAAUACAUCUGGGUCUGUGGUAGCUUUUGUGCACUACCCGGCUGCUCACUCUGCCCAGACUUAGCAAUCCCAAGGUGUUCUAUUUCUCACCCAAAUUUCCCAGCAACCCUCUGAGGUAGGUCUUACUGCUACCCAUUUUACAGAUCAGUAACAGAGGCUCACACAGACACAAUCAUCACCUGCCCCUAGACACUUAAUGAGUGAGAGUCUGGGUUUGGUCUCUGAAGUUUGCAUUUAUCCGUUGCCUGGCUCAAUGCUCUGCACCCUCAGACCUACCUAACCCAGCCAAGGAGAAGCCUGGAAGGUCUGGGAAGAACUAAGUAGUCAUGGGCCUCUGACAGUAAUGUAACCUAGUUUUAAUUAAGGUUGUUACUGGAGAAACCUGAGACUCGGGGUUUCUCCUGGCCAAGGGUUUUCCUCAGGGUGGGUUUUCUGAUUUGUGGUUGGCUUUGUGGCACACUCUUGUCUACAUCCAAAGGACAAUCCUAGGACAGUCCAGAGCUGGACCCCCAAUGAUGAGAUUUGGGAAUGGGUGGAGACAGAGAACCAACAGAGGCCCAGGGACCUGGACAGCAGCCUGGUCCUUGGCUCCCUUCAUUAACGACAUUAGUUUGGGGCAUGCGUGCCUCUCCCAGGUGCAGGAGUUAUUGGUCCCUUGGAGCCAGGGCAUGACCCGGUUCUGAGGACCUGCCCUACUGUGUCUGGAGACUGACCAUCUGGGGUCCCGUUGAAGGAACUCUGGCCAAAGGAACAGAGAGCUGGGGAAGAGCCCAACUUCCUGGCCACCACUCCGUUUCCUUUGAUUUUUGCCUAGAUUUUCCCCCCCUUCUUUGGCUUUUUCAGGACUCCGCGCACCCUUGUUUGGAUGGUACACUGCCUCCUCAUCCGGGACAUUUCAAGUCAGCAACCACUUGGCAGGCAGGCCCAUUAUAAACGUGGUCCUGGGGCAGCCAGACUACAACCCCUCUUCCAUUUACUCUCCUUGGAUCUGGGGACGUGUGGCUUGUGGAUCGCCCCAUGAAGGGGGUUGGCUAUGAGACAGGCAGGAAGGACAGGAACACACAGUCCCCGGGUGGGGCCACUCCUCAUCACAAACAACACAGAGCCAACCUUCCGAUUCCUGCAGGCCGCGUGGCAUUAAUUAUCCGCUCCAGUGGUGCCUGUCUUCCACUUUUAGGAACACACGAGAUUCUUAAGAGAAACAGUUCAGUCGAAUACACAGUAAGUCUGAAAGCCAAGGAAAGCCCGGAGUCAGACCAGCCCCAUAAUCAGCAGUGAAGGUCACAGCAACGCCGCAGUCUGCGUGUAAGCUGUCUCCAGGGGCUCGUGAGUUCAAACGCCUGCUCCCACUCCACUAACUGGUGGUGAGCUUUUUGGCGAAGCUAGAAGGAAGAACCUCUCUGUAGGAAUCAAGUCACUGGGGGGGUGGGCCUUGAGGUUUUAAGGUCCAACCCAACUUCCUGAAGCCAUGUGAUCAGUGACCCAGGCUUCUGCCCUCAUACCACCCCUUCCCAUGAUGCAUUGCACCCCUCAUGUUUCUCAGGCUGUUUCUUCUCUGGGAUUUGGUCACCGCAAGGAACACAGUAACUAACGCAGACCAGAAGGAGCUUUCUUCCUGAAGCAGUAAGCUACUGUCGUUCAAGAGUUUUCUUUAAAUUUGGGGGCGGGGAAGGUAUUUAUUUGUGUGUAUUUGUGAUGUGUUGCGUGAGCGCGUGGGCGCGUGGGCGCGUGGGCGCGUGUUUACCUGUUGAGCCAUCUAACCAACCCAGGAAGGCUUUCUCGUUCAGUGAUUUCUUUUUGACUUACCGUGGUGUUUCCUUUAAAGAUUUGCCCAUUAAUAUUAUUCGAAGUAAAAAUAAAGAUAAUGAAAUUACAAUUUCCAAGCAUGUAUUUCCCCCAAUAAUAAUAAUAAUAAUAAUAAUUACUAUUUAAUAGUAAUUAUUAUUAUUACUAUUAUUAUUAUUAUUAAAUGGAAUCCACAGCAGCCUUGGGCAUAGUGAGCUCUCCAAGAGCCCCAACCUAGGUACCCCAUUCUUAUGUUGCAUGAGAUCAAUAUUAAUUCAAAUCUGGGGGCAUCCAACUAAUGAUCCACAAUAUCCUGUAACUUAUCCUAAGGUUCUAUACAUGAGGUGGGGGAGGGGAAGAGUUUGUCCAGGCUACUUACAGGAGCGUGGACAGCUAAUAGACAGCCCCACCACCGUUAGAACGAGAGUCCAAGAAUGGAAUCCAGUGAGGAUUCCGAGCACUUGUGAGAAAACUCUGAAAUAGAAGGAAACCAGAGUCUUGUGACUGCAGUGUCUUCAAAACACAUAACUUUUUCUAGAGUGUGUUUUCAUGCUCCUCCAAAGUGUAGAGGAUAAGAGUGAAUUCACUUCGACUGUUGUUAUCCAUAUGCCUCUAUGGAAAAACACAUUUUUGCUCAGAGUGGCUUAUCCUUGUAACUCUCAGCCCUCAGAGUACAAACUGCCCGAUGCUGUAAAUAAAGUUGGCUGUUGCAAGAGA